AGGACGGAACUAGGCCACCAGACUGCAUCACAAAGCCCUCCUGUUUCAUAAGGUACAUGUAGUAGGGAAGCUCAUGUGGUGAUUCAGUCUGUAGAUGAGGGUGUUUUGAGCCUGGGACUGAAGGUGCCACAAGCAGUGUCUAUUUCCUAGUCUGUCUUCACUUUCCACUCCCUAUACCAGCCUGAUGUCUCGGCUCUGUCCUUCACAACUGUAUGGUCACCUGUCCUCAGAAAACUGAGUGCUUUGGCACAGGGGCACCUUAUGAGAAGGGGUGGUUAGGCCGGAGGAACCUCCACUAACUCUCCCACUAGUUUUGGAAAUAUACCUGAGAAGCACACAAGAAUUUAGGGAGGGCAGAGUCUGGUUAUGGCUUGGAGAUGGAGAUCUUUGAUGUUUCAGGCAAUGGGUGAUUGGUAACAGAGGUGCGGGAAGGGGAUUAUGGCUGAUGUGGUAGGGUGAUAGGGAGAGGCCAAGGUGGCCGUAUCUAUCCAGUCUGUGUGGCCUCAAGCUUGCAGAUGGGUGGGGAGAGAUUGUAAAUGCUGCAAUCUUUUUGAGGCACAUUAAUGUGGCUCACUUCUGGAAUACUGUCCAAAUCAUGGUUUUCUAGAGCUGCCUCUGUCCUUCUUAUAGCAUUCUGCCUGUUCAGGGAGAUGAAUGCCUGUAGAGAUGGAUUAGUAGCCAUUUCUGGCUUUGGGUCGCAAACUGGUUGCUGCUUGUGGUUGGAUCUAUUCAUCUCUGGAUGUAUUCUGUUUGCCUGUAGGAUUUUUAUUUGUUUGCUUGAGUCGGAUUCUGGAAACUUUUAAAGCAGAGCAGCUGUUUUCCACUUUUGCCUCAGGACUCAUCACUCCUAUACUCUGCCGAUUAAUUUAUACAUUUAUGUUACCUGCUUAACCUCCAUGAAUAUUGCAAUACUUCCCUAACAGCCAAUGAUUUCUGAAUAUUCUUAGAAGGUGUUGCCCUGGUGAGAAUGGUUAUAGCCAAAAGCGGAGAAAAAAAUUCUUGGGCUCGAAAUCUUUGAACAUUCAUCCAGCAUCCCAUCCUUUACCUCACUGGCAUGGGUUAAUCCAGUGCAGAAACAGCUUCAUCUUGUUAUCCAAGCCAACUUCUGGAGCUUCUGGAAGGAUGAUGCUCUUCCAAGCUGAGAAAUGAUCACAGACCAGACUAGCAGCUGGGAGACUGCAAAGAAGAAGAGAUUACCUUUUCAUGAGAAACAGCAGCUUCCACAACUUCUCGGCUUCUUCCUGUGAAGUUCUCCUAGCUGAAGAAACAGAAGAUAGUGAGUGUUAUGUGGAACUGGAGAGGAUUCAGGGACAUCCUAUAAGAAGCUGAAGGCCUUUUAAUGAGAAGAUACUGAAAACCCCAGAGUCAGAACACUAAGUCACAUCUGUGUAUAACUUAACCGUUUACGAUGUGUUGUUCUGCACCUUGUCUCAUUUGUCCUUCACCAUCACACUGGGAGUGAGGAAGGAUCAUCACAUGCCCAUUUUAUGGAGAACAAGACUGAGAGUUGAAGAGACUUCCACAGUCUUUCACUGUCUUAGAACCUAAUACCU
rnacentral:lncRNA from 1 species